UACGUAGGGUGCAAGCGCUACUCGGAAUUACUGGGCGUAAAGCGUGCGCAGGCGGCUUUGCAAGACAGAUGUGAAAUCCCCGGGCUUAACCUGGGAACUGCAUUUGUGACUGCAUGGCUAGAGUGCGGCAGAGGGGGAUGGAAUUCCGCGUGUAGCAGUGAAAUGCGUAGAUAUGCGGAGGAACACCGAUGGCGAAGGCAAUCCCCUGGGCCUGCACUGACGCUCAUGCACGAAAGCGUGGGGAGCAAACAGG
rnacentral:rRNA from 1 species